AACUACAAAACCGAAGUCAGUCUCGAAUAUUGAUCUAUAAUACGAUUGUUCGGGUUGCUUGGUGAUUGCCCCUGGGAAUUUUCUCCUCCAAUCUCUUCUGAGGCGUUUAAACUGGUGGCUGUGUGAGGAAAAAAGAUGUGGGCAGCUUCUUGCCUUGCGUCGUGCUGUGCAGCUUGCGCAUGUGAUGCAUGCCGUACGGUUGUUUCGAGUAUUAGCCGAAGGUCUGCAAGGAUUGCAUACUGUGGCCUCUUCGCACUCUCUUUGAUUGUUUCUUGGAUCCUCAGAGAGGUCGCUGCUCCCCUUCUGGAGAAGAUCCCUUGGAUUAAUACUUUCCAU
rnacentral:misc_RNA from 1 species